CGCCCUUGGAUCCUGACUUUGAUUCUGCGCUCAGGAUGAACGCUAGCUACAGGCUUAACACAUGCAAGUCGAGGGGAAACGACAUCGAAAGCUUGCUUUUGAUGGGCGUCGACCGGCCCACGGGUGAGUAACGCGUAUCCAACCUGCCCACCACUUGGGGAUAACCUUGCGAAAGUAAGACUAAUACCCAAUGACGUCUCUAGAGGACAUCUGAAAGGGAUUAAAGAUUUAUCGGUGAUGGAUGGGGAUGCGUCUGAUUAGCUUGUUGGCGGGGUGACGGCCCACCAAGGCGACGAUCAGUAGGGGUUCUGAGAGGAAGGUCCCCCACAUUGGAACUGAGACACGGUCCAAACUCCUACGGGAGGCAGCAGUGAGGAAUAUUGGUCAAUGGACGAGAGUCUGAACCAGCCAAGUAGCGUGCAGGAUGACGGCCCUAUGGGUUGUAAACUGCUUUUAUAAGGGAAUAAAGUGAGUCUCGUGAGACUUUUUGCAUGUACCUUAUGAAUAAGGACCGGCUAAUUCCGUGCCAGCAGCCGCGGUAAUACGGAAGGUCCGGGUGUUAUCCGGAUUUAUUGGGUUUAAAGGGAGCGUAGGCCGGAGAUUAAGCGUGUUGUGAAAUGUAGAUGCUCAACAUCUGCACUGCAGCGCGAACUGGUUUCCUUGAGUACGCACAAAGUGGGCGGAAUUCGUGGUGUAGCGGUGAAAUGCUUAGAUAUCACGAAGAACUCCGAUUGCGAAGGCAGCUCACUGGAGCGCAACUGACGCUGAAGCUCGAAAGUGCGGGUAUCGAACAGGAUUAGAUACCCUGGUAGUCCGCACGGUAAACGAUGGAUGCCCGCUGUUGGUCUGAAUAGGUCAGCGGCC
rnacentral:rRNA from 1 species